rnacentral:rRNA from 1 species
GACGAACGCUGGCGGCGUGCUUAAUACAUGCAAGUCGAACGAAAAGACCCUGCUUUUGCGGGUUGCUCGAGUGGCGAACGCGUGAGUAACACGUGUGUAACCUGCACCUGUCAUUGUGAUAACUUCAGGAAACUGGGGCUAAUACCGGGUAUGAGCUCCUGCUGCACGUUGUGGGUUGGAAAGAUUGGGCCGUUGGGGCUGGACUGGCGGGUUAUCAGCUAGUUUGUGGGGUAGUGGCUGACCAAGGCUUUGACGGGUAGCCCGCCUGAGAGGGUGACCGGCCACCAUGCGCCUGCGGGACGGAGCAGACGCGUACGGGAGGCAGCAGGCGGAAAUAUUGCAGAGUAGGCGGAAGCCAGAGGCAGCGACGUCGCGUGCGUGAUACUGGCUUACGGGUGGUAAACAGCUGUGGAAUGAGACGUAGCGGGCUUGACGGUAAUGGGUAAGAAAGCAACGGCUAACUACGUG